rnacentral:piRNA from 1 species
ACACCCAAGGUAAUUGUAGCACAG